CAAACAACAUAAUCACCACUGAUUAAUCACAUAGUAUUAUUGAACUAAGCGGUCAUGGAUAAUAAGGAACAAAGAAUAUUUACAUUAAUUACUAUGAUUACAAGGAAUGAUUAGCAUACUUAUGGUUCAUCGGAUCAAUACUUGGCUUCCAUCAUUUUUUCAUCAGUUGAAUCAUCGGCCAUCCAAUUUUCUACUUAAAACUAAUAUUGUCCCCGGCCCAAGAUAUACAGAUUUAGAAGAAAAAUGAAAAUCUCAAAUUAACUCAUUCAAAUUCCAACCCUCAAUAAAUAAAAAUCGACCAAGUUACUUACAUGAUGAGAAUUCGCAAGCUAAUUCCCCAUAACAACAAUGGACUAAAACUGAUCGAAACACCUUAAAAUCGAACUCAUUUACAAGUUUCACGUCAAUGCUUGAUAAUAACAACCAAAUAUCAAGACUAGCUUGUAUAGAUCAACAAGCUGAGAUCUCCAUCAAGGCUUAAUUAGCACAUGAGUAGUGCACGUACCCUGCAGAGAUCACAUCUUGCGCAAACCAAACUCGCAACUUCUUCAUCAUCAUAUGUAUAUAGUUACCUGUUUGAUAUAGGGUUUGGUCCACUUGGCACUGAGUGCUCGUCACCUUGGAACUCAACUUUUCCUUUACCAGAAUUCUUACCCGUCUUGAUCGUAUUAGAUGAUGACGAUGAUGCUGAAGCCGAAAAAUGAGCAUUAGCUUGCGAAACUAACUGCCUUCGGCUUUGAAGAUUAGUUGGAAGCAUUGAGGAAACAGUGCCACAUCUCAAGAUCAAAGUGGAAAGGAAGAAGAUAAAGAAUGUCGCCAAGGAAACGAGUAAAAUAGAUCUAGAGUAAUGAUAUUUGGUGGGAGCUCUGGAGAUUGCCAUGUUAUACACUACAACAAAUUAAGGCUUUUUACUAGAUAGGGAUUUUUAACCAAAGAUCAGAGAGAUGUCUAGAAGCAAGAAGAUAUGAAACUAAGAGAAAGAAGAAGGAUUAAGGUAAAAGAAAGAGUAAUAAACAAUGUAAAGGUUUCAAGAUGGUGAGGGAAUAUUUGGCAGUCAAGAGAAACUAGAAACUGGAAGACAACUUUUUUGCAAUUAUAUAACAGAAGAAGCUUUGGCAACAAGAGAGAAGCUUUUUCUUGCUUUGCUGGUUAGUUUUUGACUUUUUUGACCAGGGAACCCAAAGUCUGGAAAAGAUGGUCAUCUUGGCAUAUCAGACUUUAACUAAAGUAAGUGAUUAUAUGCUUCCCCGGCCCUUUCUCUGCCCCGUAUUUAGAGAAACCUAAAUAAGUAUAUAUGCAGGUUAGAGCAUCAAAACUGAGGUUAUAUAUACAUAAAGCAGUUGAUGAUUACUCUCUAUAUAACUUCAAUUGUGAAAAGCUGAAGAUGACAUGCAUGCAUGCAUGCAAUUACAUUUACACCUUCAUACCUUGACCAGUGAAUACCAAUUUGCUCAAUGCUCUGACAUAUAUUUGGAUUUGCUUAAUGGUUUAUGAUAUCACGUUUGAUCAUAUUAUAUUUUAAUAAAUUGUAUAUAUUAAUUCGGAUUCAAGUACAUCAUCUUUGGGAUAAAUUCUUGACCAUCGUAUACCUUAUUUAUAAUCCUUUAAAAAGAAAAAACUUUGAGUACUGCCAGUAGGAUCAAACACUUUGGAAUCGAACAUAGAAUCUCAUCUAAAACUUGAAUUAAAUUCUAACUUUAAGCUAAUUAACCAUUUAUUAUGAAUGAUAAUAGUAUCUAGCAUGUUUAACAACAAUUAUGGAUUAAAAAAUAACAUGAUUCUAUGUGAUAUUAAUCAUGUAAAGAAUAUAUACAUGAUUCUAUUCUAGAUUCUAUUUUGGAUUCUGUUCAGGAUUCUAUAAUAUUUCAUAUUAAUAAUUUGGAUAGAUUUGGAUGUUAGAUUUCAUAUAUUAAAUUUAGUUAGUGCUUAACUAUGUAAUUAUAAUCAUAACAAAUCAUUUUUUAUGAAAGAAAAAGUGUUAUGACAGUGUUUUGAUAGUGUUCUGUGUUGUUCUUUUUUUAAAGUGUUCUGUGUGGAGUGCAACCCUAUAUAUAUAUAUAUAUAUAUUAAAAUUUUAUUUCUACCAACAUAUCAUAGUUAAAGACCUUCAACAGAAAACAUAUUUACAAUUGCUUAAAAAUGUAUCGGUUAUAUGUCAAACAAAUGUAGGUACCGACUGCGCCAUAAAAUAAAACUAAGGGCCCAAGCUGCAGAAAUCGAAGAUUUUGUUGCCCCCUCUUUUAUUACUUUGUUUGCAUUCAAUAAUGGGAGUAGUUAUAAUAUGCUAAUUAACAGUAAGAAAUCAAGGUUUUUUGUAUCUUUCAAAAUCACUACAGUAAAAACAUGUUUCCUCAGAUUAUCAAGUCCUUUUCACCAGCCUGAUUUUGCAAUAGAAAAUAUGAACAAGUGAGCGAAUAGACAUCAUGUGGUCCACUAAUCUUUUCACACUGAUAAUUAUACAAUGAUUGUAAGUAAAUUUCUGUACACUUGACUGAUACAUGUAUACAAUGUUUAGAGCACACUACGUAAAAUUAAAAUGCUUAGUUUAAAAUAUAUAUAUAUAAUGUUGAUUAUUCGUACUAUUUGUGUAAUAAUUUGAGAAAAAUUUAUAAAAAAUCAAGAGUACUCAGCUUUUGUUUUAUGGUUUUUAAUUCUUUUCCAAACACUUUAAUCAGUUAUAAGUAUUAACUUGAUUCUAAUUUUACUUCACUUUUUUAUUUUAAACAAAAAUCACUUAUUUUAAACUCACUCAAACGGUUUCAUAGUUUUGGAUGAUAACCAGACAAUAUAACUAAGGAAUGAUUUAUGAUCGGACUUCUUACAAAUUUUACCGUCUAUUACAAAGAAAAAAUGGAAAAACAAAAUACCGUCAAAAGAUAAUAUAUCAAACCAAAUUAUAAAUUAUAGUCACUUUAUGUUGACCGCGGUCUCAUCUUGGGUGAGUGAAGAAGCUCCCACUAAUUCUUGAAACCCUCACUUGAGUCUAGGGUUCAUGUCACAGCGGCACGGGCAUGCCAGAGUGGGCAUGCCAGACUGGGCAUGCCCUAGGCAUGCCUUUUGUCCAUUUGGCAUGCUUUUUUACUAAUUUUUUAUAUAAAUAAUAAAAUUUAUAUAAAUAUUAUAUCUUAUAAAUAUUGAAAAUUUUAAAUAUAGUCCAACUUCAUAGUUAAAUAUUAGAUAAACUACUAAUAUAAGUUAGUAUUGUACUAAGUUCGGUUCUUAAUAUUUACUAUUUUUGUUAUAUUUGUAAGUGCACUUUAGUAUCAAUCCUGUAAUGAUGCAGCAGUUUUUGCUAUAUUUAAUGGAAAAUGGCAUGCCAUUUGGGCAUGCCUUUUUGUAAAAUACAUGCCUAUAGGAAAAUGGCAUGCCAUUUGAGCAUGCCUUUUUGUAAAAUACAUGCCUAUAGGAAAAUGGCAUGCCAUUUGAGCAUGCCUUUUUGUAAAAUACAUGCCUAUAGGCAUGCCAGUGAGAACUGCCGUGACAUGUACCCUACUUGAGUCACUGUAAUAAAGGCCAGGAUUCAAGUGGGUAAAAUGACUUUACCAAAAGACAUGGGUAUGAUUAAGUUGAUUAGUGGUAUAAGUAAGAAGUUUUUUUUAGCAUAAUAUAGUGAAAAAGAUUGUCUUGUGCAGCUGGCAGGGCACCAAAUUAUCUAUCUAGUAAAACCUAUUAUCUUUGCAAUCUUUUUUUAAAGCAUUAUUCACCUAAUCUGCAUUGUCUGAGAAAAAUAAAUAAGUCCAAUCAAAUCCGUACACGGUCUGUCUGGCAUCUAUAUAUUUUUUUGAUUAUUUUCUUGCAGUACUGUAUGAAUUUAUAAUGGGCCUCUCUACAUGUUGGAUCUGUUUAGGAAACUCAGCUGAUUACUGUUUCGUUUUAAACCACAUUAAUCCCUGUGAACGCUUUGCUACAAGGAGUAGAAACAAAACAAAAAGAUAAGACAUCCGAGAGAUAUUAUUGAACGUACCAAAAGACCUGGUCAUUCAUCCCAGCUCGAUCUCUGUUGUUAGUAACUUAAUUGGGGAAGAUGAUCAGUUGCAUGCGGAUUUCAUCCUUGACCUCUAUUCUUACCAUAUAUAUAUAUUGUGGUGGUGGUUUCAUUUUUGUAUCACGCGCCAAUGUUUUCAUCAUUCAGAGUAGUAACAUUCUUUUAUCAUAAAAAUAAUGCAUAGAUUUGUUAAAAAUAAAAUCAAGAAUUAAAUGCUUGUUGCACCAUUUUAGUUUUAACUAUUUGCAUUUUACAUCAAAUAAUUUUAUGAUAAAAACUUUACAUUUCUUAAAUUCAAAAACCGCCACACUUUGAACCGAAGGUGAUAUUAACAGUUAAAACAUGAUGAAAAGAUGUCUAAUACAGAGAGUUUCGGGGUUAAGAAACGUAAAUCAAAGAUUUACAUUGAACUGUAAAUUCUAAUUUAUACCGUAGAUUUUUGCCUCUAGAAAUUACAAGCACGCGACAUUCUACUGUAGAAUUUAAAUAUUGGACAAACUUAAGAAUUCUACAGGAGUAGAUUCAUUUUCAGGUCCUCACUUACAGUCCAAUUGAUGUUGGGCCGCAAUAGGGCUUGCCGAGGAAUAGCCCGAAGAAUAUUAUAUAAGUGUUGUGAAAUGUGUCGAUAACCUUUUUCUGGGUUAACUUAUGUCAAUAACUAAUUGGGUUCUUUAGCAAAGAAAAAGAGAAAAAAAUCGAAAAUUUGGCAUUAACUUGAUCAUUCGAUUAUUAACAAACUUAAUAAGAUUUACAAGAAAAACAACCAUGAAUCACAUAUUCUAGUGGAAGCUUUUUCAUAUUUUGGUGGAUCAAUUAUUAAAUGACAUGAGUUUGAUAAAAAAAAAUUACUAACAAAAUGUAGAAUUUUUCAAAAUACAAAAUAUUUAAGCAAGUUUUUAACUUCUAAAAAUAAAAAUUCAAACUGAAAUUUAUCAUAGAAUUUUUCAAAAUACAAAAUAUUUAAGCAAGUUUUUAACUUCUAAAAAUAAAAAUUCAAACUGAAAUUUAUCGAUGUAAAAAGAGAGAAUCAAAAUUAAUAGGUAAUAAUACGGGUCAAUGAUUAGUUAAAAAAUCGAUACUGAUCGGAUCAUUAAUCGAUAUUAAUUUAAUAUUAUUUUUAAUAUAAUAAUAUAUAUAAAAUUAAUUUUUUAAAAUUAUUUUUUCUAAUAUUAUUACUAAUAAAUUUAAUUUUUAACCGAUUAAUUAUUAGUUACUAAUUACUACUGCCUCUGUCUCUUCCAAGUAGGGGUGUACACGGGUUGAUGAAACCGACCGAUCCAAUCCGAACCGAUCAUAUUUUACCCGAACCAAUCUGAAUUUUUUUACCCGAUAGAUAAUUGGAUUAAAAAAUGAUCAAAUCGAUUUAAUUGGGUUGGACACGGGUUUCAAUUUUCUUAAACCGAUCCAACCCAACCCGAUAUAUCCGAGGACUCUCAAGCCAUUAUCUAUACUUUGUCUGCUCGAAUUUAUAUUUGCCACUGUUAACAAACAGAUUGUUAUUAGUUAUUUACAGACAUUUGUUAACAGACAUUGUUCUCUAUUUAUUAAAUAAUAGUAUUCUGUUUGCUUUUUGUAUACCGGAGACUCUGGAGUUAGUUUUAUCUCUUUGACAAACUCAUCAAAGCAACAUUCCACCGAUAUAAGAUUAAAUUCAUUAUUAUGUUUGUUUAGAAGCACACGAACAUGAAUAUUGUUUGUUUGUUACGUAAAUGUAUUCAUGACCUUAAAUUUAUUAACUUAAUCAAACCAAUCCGAAUAGAAUCAAACCGAAGUACUACAAAUUGGUUUGGUUUAUAGAUUUAUAUGGUUCGGAUUGGAUUGAAAAUUUGAAAAUCCGAUUUAAUUGAGUUGGGUUAACAAAUUCCGUCAACCCGCUCAAUUCGAACCGUGUACACCCCUACUUCCAGGUAGUUUACCUUUGGGUUGUGAGUUUGACACACAUUCUGAUGUUUUAUAAAAAAAUAAUUUUAUAAUACUGUUUUAACUUUAUUUUGAAUAAAAAUUUGAUAUUUGAAUUUAUACACACAAAAAUCUCAAAAAUAAAUAUUAGAACUAUAUUUUAUAGGAGUUUUAAAAUACGUGUCGAAUAGUGAAAAACAAUUAAAAAAACGGAAAUCUACAAAACUACCUACCUUUUCUUUUAUUGUUUUCAAAAAUACUACCUUUCAGAAUUAUUUUUAAAAAUACCUUUUCAUAAAUUUUUUUUCAAAAAUACGGUUUGCAACUUUUGCAACCUCAUUUGCAACUCCAGGCGGCGCCAGCCGUGUUGCAACCUCUUUUGCAACUUCAUAUGCAACCAAAUUCCUGAUUUCAAGUUCCAGUUUUCGAAUGUCGUUUUCGACCUCAUUUUCGGAAUCUAUAUAUAUAUAUAUAUAUAUAUAUAUAGUUGCAAAUGAAGUUCCAACUGCAGUUGCAACUUUUGCAACCUCAUUUACAACUAUAUAUAGUUUUCAGUUGCAUUUAGUUGCAACUGAGGUUGCAAAUGAAGUUGUAAUCUAAUGGCCCCGCCAGGGGCACACCAUAUAUCUGUUGUUACUUGCAGUUUUCAGUUGCAAAGUUGCAACUUCAUUUGCAACCUCAUUUGCAACUUUUGCAACCUCAUUUACAACUAUAUAUAGUUUUCAGUUGCAUUUAGUUGCAACUUGCAGUUUUCAGUUGCAUUUAGUUGCAACUGAGGUUGCAAAUGAAGUUGCAACAGUUGCAACUUCAUUUGCAACCUCAUUUGCAACUUUUGCAACCUUCAUUUGCAACUUACAGUUUUCAGUUGAACUAGUUGCAAUUGCAGUUGCAACAGUUGCAACGGUUGCAACUUUUCAUUUUUAUUUGCAAGUGACUUUUCCAUUUCACAUGUCGUUUUCUCCCUCAUAUAUGUGGAAUACAGAUGUAUAUAUAUAGAUGUCUAAACAGAGGUCGAAAAUGGCAACUGAAAACUAGAAGUUGCAACUUACAGUUUUCAGUUGAACUAGUUGCAACAGUUGCAAUUUUCCAUUUUUAUUUGCAACUUUUGCAACCUCAUUUGCAACUUUUGCAACCUCAUUUGCAACUUUUACGGCUGCGCCGCCCAAGGUUGCAAAAGUUGCAAAUCGUAUUUUUGAAAAAAAAAAUUUAAUAAUAAUUUUACAGAUGGGUAUUUUUAAAAAAAUCCCUAAAAAAAACUAGAGGAAUAUACAAGAAAAACAACCCUGAAUCACAUAUUGGGGGAUCAAUUAUUAAAUGACAUGAGUUUGAUAAAAAAAAUAUUACUAACAAAACAUAAUUUUUUUUUUCAAAAUACAAGAUAUUUAAGCAAAUUUUUAACUUCUAAAAAUAAAAAUUCAAACUGAAAUUUAUCUACGUAAAAAAGAGAGAAUCAAAAUUAAUAGGUAAUAAUACCGGUCAAUGAUUAAUUAAAAAAAUUGAUAAUGAUCUGAUCAUUAAUCAAUACUAAUUUAAUAUUAUUUUUAAUAUAAUUAAAUAUAUAUAAUUAAUUUUUUUAAAAAAAUCCUAAAAUUUUAAUAUAUUUAGUAAUAAAUCCAAUUUUUAACCGAUUAUUUACUAAUUACUUCCGGGUAGUUUACCUCUAACAAACGACAUCCUGGGAGGUGGGACUGUUCCAACGUCCUCAUAAAACCUUGCUAAACCCUAAUUUCACACCCCUUUUUCUCUCUUGGAUCCACAAAAUCUCAAGAUGGUGCACCAGAAGAAAAGUAAGUAAUUUUCAACACACCCAUCUGUUUUAAUCACCCAUAUCAUCUCUCCCCCAUAUAAUUAUGCAUAUUCAUUAAUUCAUGUGUCUUGUAUUUCAAUUUGUUGAUAGAGAGCAAGAACAAGAGAAUCACACUGAAAAGAAAGUCAAAAGUGAUUAAGAAAGUGACAGAGCAUCACAAGAAGAAGGCCAAGCAAGCCCAGAGGCAAUUGGGUAUUGAUAGAAAGAAGCUUAAAGAAAACGACAAUAAUGGUGAUUUGGAAAAGGCUGCUAGUGUUGUUAGUGGUGAUUGGAGUGUUAAGGAGCAGGAUCUUAAUGCCCUUCAGGCUCAUCGGGCUCGAACUGUCGAUGUUGUUCGGAAAGAGAGGGUAUGGCUUUAACUGUGUUUUGGGUUGCUAAAGUUUGUGGCUUAUGACAUUUUGAGGGAAGUGAUAAUUGAGUUGAGUAAUGGGUGAAAUAUGGCUUUUCAGAUUAUGUAUGAAUGUGCUAUCUGUUUUUAACCGUAAAAAGCUGCUUUAUAUUAAUUACGUUUUGUAUUGUGUCUAUGUUUUUUAAUAUGUGUGAUUAUUGCUAGCAAUGCUUUGAUUGAUGUUUGUUAUUUCGUCAUGAGAAUAGUUUAAGAUACUUAACUUGGACUGAUGAAUAUUGAUCUGGUAGUUAAGCUUUAAAAUUUAAUAUACUCACUCGAAUUAUUACUUUUAAAUGUUUAUUAAGGCAAACAAAAGAAAAUUUGAGCUAUUAGAGGAUGUUGAGCCAGAUCGUGGUUUUGGCAAUGAAGAAAGUUCUACUGCUAAAUCUCUUGGAAUGGUUAAAAUUCGUGGUAUGUUGUUUUUUCUUGAGUCACAUGAGAAUUUUUUUAUUUUGGUUGUGUGCAAAAAAUGACGUUUUAAUCUCAUUUGGUUAUAAAUUCAGAUAACUCAGACAGGGCCUUUUACAAGGAGUUGGCGAAAGUCAUUGAAGCCUCAGAUGUCAUCUUGGAAGUGCUUGAUGCCCGCGAUCCAAUUGGUACCCGUUGUGCCGAUGUGGAAAAGAUGGUGCUGAGAGCAGGUUAUGAGAAGCAUCUUGUGUUGUUGCUCAAUAAGAUAGGUAUUCCUCUCACUUUUGUCCAUUUGUUUUUCUCUCUCUCGUCUGCCUCUCACUCUGUGGUCGUGGAUUUGGUAGACACCUUAAUUUAAAAAUAGAACAUUCUCUCUACAUACUAGAAAACAUUACAUUAUCGGUAUGGCGACCUAUGCCAUGUUUAUGUGCUUAAAUGACCUAUGACAACUAACAACUAAUAACUGCAGUACUGAAUUAUAAUAAAAUACUUCAUGCUUGUGUUUCCCACUUCUGAAUUGUGUUCUUACACUACAGAUCUUGUCCCUCGGGAAGCUGUUGAGAAGUGGCUCAAGUAUCUUAGAGAAGAACUACCAACGGUAGCUUUUAAGUGUAGCACACAAGAGCAGAGGUCAAACUUGGGCUGGAAAUCUGCACCAAAGGCUUCAAAGGCUGCUAAAGUUGCUGCAAAACCUGGCAAUCUUCUUCAAACUAGUGACUGCCUUGGAGCUGAAACACUAAUCAAAUUGCUUAAAAACUACUCAAGAAGCCACGAGGUAUGCAAUGAUAUAUAUAUAUCUGCUGCUUUUUUUUUUUUGUACAAUAACCCAAGUUUUAAUGAAAUUACAUCAUCAUGUUCUAUUUUAAAUGAGUAGAAGAUAAAACUUGUUGUUUCUGCUGAUCAGAUGGAUUUAUACACCUAUUGCCAUGGAAAAUUAAGAUUAUAAUAUAAGUUACUCUAAUACUUAAUAGAAAGUAGCUAGGAGUGGAAAUAUUUGAUUUUUUUUGGUUUAUAGCAUAGCAGAUGUCCUACUUCUCUUAUUAAUAGGUUGCGGCUUUAAGCCUUUGUUUUUUGUUUUUGUUUUUUGGGUAAAUGAGGGCGGCACCUCAUAUGAAUUUUAUAAAUAAAAACAAAAGAUACCACCUGGGGAGAAAAACACACCCAGGACAAGCAACAGAUUUCUCAGAACAACCUCCGAGAAAUCAAAACAACAACACCUAACCACUUAAAAGCGUCCAAAUAUAAUUACAAGCAGAAAAAAUGAUAAAACAAGUCCUGUUGGACACACCCACAAAACUCCAGAAAAACAAUUUGUUGAGGCAGGACCACACUGUGCAUCUCCAGAUGUCCACCUUGAAAAAACAAACUAGACCCUUCAAGUGAUGCACCUGACUUCCUGAACAACUCCACAAUAAAACAAUCAGCCCCUUCACCAUACGACCAACUAAAAGCCCCCUGAUCAAAAACCUCACCUCUGCUACAUACACUGAUAUAACCACCAAAGGAAAACCUUCCCUGAAAUCAACAGAAAGCCAGACCCAGAGCCACAUAAACCGCAAAAUAAAAGCCAGCAAUCCACGUAAACCAUGCAUACUCAAACAGAUACACCAGCGUUGAAUACUAAUGACCACCUGGAAAUUGAUAUGCAUGAUCAACAGAAACAUACUACUACUCACCAACAUCGCAGCAAAAAACAAGCACACCCACUCCCAGCAGCACACUAGCUCCCAAACCAUCUGAUCACCAGCAGUACAUAACACCAGACUAACGAAUAAAUUGACCAGACUACGAUGACAGCUCACUUCGAAUUCCUGAUUAGACCUACAGCCCCAAAGACAAGCAAUAGAAUACUGACUACAAAGAACAAGCAGACCCACAUAUCUGAAAAACUCCCAAAGGUGCAGAAAAACACCCAUACCACCAGACUCAAGUAUUCUGAUCAACUGCUGCGUGCAUCCCCAGCUGGCCAGAACUGCUAUAACCCUCAGACCCUUAGCUAAUAAAUUAUGAUGUACUAAAGUACAUAAAAUACUCAGGAAACACCACAAAAAUUCCCAGAUUAAAAACACCUCUGCAACAGAUACAGACCCCAACUGAUUAGCCUUUGUUGAGGUAUGGGUAUAUGAGUUUUUGAAUAUAUGCUAAUGACCGUGUUAAUACAGACAAAUUUUGUUUCUGAAGUUGGUGUGAGUUUACAUAUUUAAUAUUAUUGCCAUGUUGGACAUGGUCUAUCAAGUUGUUUGUUCUUGUUUUAGAUCUUCUUUACUUCUCACUUAUCCUUUUUCUUUUUAUCAGUUAAGGUAUUUGCCCCUCUUCCAUGAUAUGUGUGGGAUGCGGGCAUAUGACCUGUGUAACUAUGUUUUCCCUUGCAAUUUUCCUUGUUGUAUUAAUGGAAAUUCCUGUGCUUAUCUCCAACAGCAUAACACCAAAGUGCUAUGUUUGUUUAGAGGAACUAGAGUUGAAUUAUGCCCUGAAUACUCUAUCCUAUGAAACAAACAUAAUCAAGGCAUAGGCAUUUGACUUAACUGUUAAUAGACCCUGUUCAUUAAUUUAUUUCAAGAGAAAUCGCUCUACAACUAGACCAGCUGUCUGGCUGAGAUCAAGCUCAAGUAACUUAGAUAACAUGGGGCCAGCGACAUAUAACAUAUUGCAUGCACCAAAGAGAAAUAAACAAAUAAAUUUCAUAAUAGCAGCAUAAAAGUUAACUCAUUAUUAAAAUAGAAUCCUCACUCUCGACUCCUGAGAAAUGUUUGUGAUUGAUUGUUUACUUGUAUAUUUGAAGGGAAUUGUGGAAAUUGACCAGAGUAAGAUUCUUCUUUAAAUAUAAUAUAUAUAAAGCUUGACAGAGUUUAAUGCAUAUUUCAUCUGAAGUUCUUGCCGGCUUGCUGCACAUUAGGAGAUAUAAACUCUUUUGUUGUUGCAGUUUCUUGCCACUAGGAUUGCUAUACUGGCAGGAAUUCUAGAUUGUGAAUUGUCAUCAUGAUCAUAAUACUUCCCAAAAGAGUUUAACUAUGAUUAGGAUUAGAGAUGUUUAUGUAUAUUAUAUUAGUUGUCCUACCCAGCUUCAGGCGUGGGGUUUGUUGGUAACUAGUUACUUGCCUUCUACAUUGAUCUUCACCUCUUCAGUAUUGUCUAAAAUCUGAUAACCAUUUUCCCUUGCAGAUCAAGAAAUCAAUAACAGUGGGUGUUGUUGGCCUACCCAAUGUUGGAAAGAGUAGUCUGAUUAACAGCUUGAGAAGAUGUCAUGUUGUCAAUGUUGGUGCUACUCCAGGACUAACAAGAUCUAUGCAAGAGGUUCAAUUAGAUAAGAAUGUUAAAUUAUUGGAUUGCCCUGGGGUUGUUAUGGCUAGAUCUGGAGAAAGUGAUGCAUCUAUUGCUCUUCGAAAUUGCAAGAGAAUUGAGAAGUUAGAAGAUCCUGCUGGGCCAGGUAAUGUAAUAAACCCUCUUCAGCAAUUUCCAAGUAUAUGUAGUGAAAUAGUGGAUCUUACACAUAAUCAUUUGACCUCCUAUAAUAGUUAUUCAGAUUCAUUGAACCAAAUUUAUGCUGAUUUUUACCGUUCCAUCGUCAUGCUGGUGGUUGAAUUUUCUGUCGAUUUUUAUCAGAGAUCCUUUAAUUUAAGAUGUUACUCAAGCCUCAAGGUCCCCAUUGUGGAUUUGUAAUCGUUCCUUGUGAAUCAUAUCAUGUGGUUAUUCUUUCUACACAACUAUAUAUGUAAUAUCUUUUGAACAGUGGUUAAUUUACUUGUAGAACUCAUGUCUGUGAAUUUGUAUUACUUUACUAGCUACAACGUUGUUCAACGGAUUUAUAGUUUGUAUACAAUGUUUAUGUUGUACAGUUUCAUAAUCCUUUUACAGAGGAAUGUGUUCUUUUGUUUUCAUUCACACACACACACAUAUUAAUAUCUAAAAGUAUCGACUUAUUACUUUUGCAAUGUUGCAGCUUCUUAUAUUCAUCCAUAUUAAUUCUUCUUGCUCGAUGUCCACUUUGUGCAGUCAAGGAAAUUCUUAAUUUAUGUCCUGCCGAGACGUUGGUAUCCAUAUACAAGAUCCCCAGUUUUAAUUCAGCUGAUGAAUUUCUUCAGAAUGUAGCAACUGCUAGGGGGAAGCUCAAAAAGGGUGGGAUUAUAGAUGUUGAUGCUGCUGCAAGAAUUGUUUUGCACGACUGGAAUGAAGGUAUCAGUUAUCUCUAACCUUUCCUUAUGCACUGGCAUUAAUUAAGAAAAAGUUGUAAAGGUCAUAAAUGAGUUGCCAGUUGAAUUAUGCUUUAUGUGCCUUCUUUUCUUAGGUAAAAUUCCCUACUAUACAAUGCCCCCAACUAGGGAUGCGGGAGUCCCUUCGGAAGCAAAGAUCAUAUCAGAACUUGGAAAGGAGUUCAACAUCGAUGAAGUAUAUGGUACAGAAUCAUUUAUUGGCAGUCUAAAAUCUGCAGAUGAUUUUCAACCUGCUGAAAUGCUGGCAAGUGCUACUAUCACCUCUGAUGAGAAGAUGAGUGAGGUUUGUAUAGUAUCAAUCUUUCUGUACAAGCACUGGUGAUCUUUAUGGGUAUUUAUUCUUUUAUAUCACAGUAAUUAAAAGAGGAGACUUCAUAUAGUAUUGAUGUGUAGCAUGUGUCGUACUUUAUCGUCUCAAACAUAUUUUACACAAAACUAGUACUGCGAGUCUUGGUUUCUGGGGGGCAUGCUACAAUUAAAUUAGUAAUUAUGGCUUGAUGUCAGCAGCCAGUUUUUUUUUAUAUAUAUAGGUCCUUUGCUAUGUCCAAACUCCUUAUAAACUAAACUGAAUUACUUUUUACUUAAAAGGAUGUAAUGCAGGGUAACAAGGUUGUAGAUCAGAGUCAUGAUAAUGAUGACGAGUGCAUGGCAGAAGAAGAUAGCCCAGAUGUGAAAAUGGCCAAAACGGCUAGUGGCAGGCAGAAUGUGAAGUUAUAUGCUACAACAGAUGUACUAAACACCAAGUUGAGGAAAGCGGAAAAAAGGAGGAUGAAAAAGGCCAAAAAAUUAUCUGCAAUGGAAGCUAAGAUGGAAAGUGAUGAUAUUGAUGACUUUGCUGAGGAUGCUGCUAUGAAUGAUGUUGAUGAGGAUCAAUCCAUCGUAACUUCCAGCAAGAACAGAUUCGAGAUCCCUGUGGAGCUUGACAAGUAAUGUAUGUAUGCAAGAACAUGUAUCCCAUUCAUAAACAUUAUGAGCACCCUGAUUUUAAGAAGUCUUCCAGAAUGUAUACGAUUUAUAUUCAAGCACAUUUUGUAGUGAUGCAACUACAAUGUACACGAAAUUAAGCAUUAAAUGCAAUUUUUGUGAUACUUCCUCUCCUUGUCUAUGCUAUCAAUUUUUGUGAUACUUCCUCUCCUUGUCUAUGCUAUCUGUAUUCUUUGUGAUUACAUGAUGAGGCAGAAGCCUAUUAGGGGCCUUAUUUGGAUCUGUAUGAGGUGUGAGCCUUUCUGCCUAUACGGCUAUACCAUUCUGAUUUAAGUAGUUAGGAAGUGGGAUGUGUUUGAUGAUUAAAAUUAUCAAACAGUUUAGGGAACGGAGUCAUGAGUUGUGUCAUGUGACCCAGCCGUUGAUUGGUCUUGCCUGAUUUUGCUUUUGAAGGGCUUAUAACAAAUCUAACAGCCCAACUCAUCUCUAUAUUUAUUAUUUAGACAGACAUUCUUCGAGAAUAGGAAGCCUUCUUGGCCUACUCGCUGCCCAUCAUGCACCUUCUGUUAGUAAUUCCUGGGCUUGUUCUGUAGUCAGCGGAACCAGGGCUCGUGCGGGCCUGCUUGAUCAGACAGUGGCCCAAGUUUGAUUUCUGCAUGUAAGCCCAGCCCAAGAUCCCCUUGUAUGGUUAAGUUAAAGUAUUAUUGAUAGUUGAUACACGCAAACGCCAAACACACAACAGAACUGCAACGAGCUAAUGGAGUGUUUGGUAGCGGCCCGGAGACAUAGGACUCUCUCCGCUCAAAUGAUAUACUCCCUCUGUUUUUUAAUAUAUGACGUUUGACUUUUUGGCACACACUUUUAAGUGCUUUGACCGGAUAGUUAAAAGUAUUAUUUUUGAAUUUUUCUUUUUCUGAAUAAAAAUAUACAAUCAAAAUUUUAAUUCACAAAAAAAAUCAAUCAAAAAUAAUGUUUUUUACUAUCCGGUCAACCCACCUAAAGUUACGUGCCCAAGUCAAAAGUGUCAUAUAAAAAAAAACAGAGGGAGUAGAAUAUUAAUUAUAUAAAAUCGGUUUUUCUAUGGUGUGCCCAUGGGCAUAUGCUAAGCGCGGAAAAUUUUGUGCUUGGAUCAUUUUGAUUGGUUCCUAUCUCAUGAUAAUGGUGGACCCCCCUGCAAAUACACCAACCACACCAAUAAAAAUCUCUCAAAUACAAAAAUUUCCGCGCUUAGCAUGUGCCCAUGGGCACACACUAGCCAAACCGAUAUAAAAUUAUUAAAACAUGUUUCAAUGAAAUUGAUUAUAGAAUUUAACUAUAUUUUAUAACAGAGUAGAUUAUUACUCCCUCCGUCCCUUUUUAUCUGUCCAUUUUUGAAAAAAAAAACACAUACCAAGGAAUAAUUGAUUGUAUAAACUUUUUCAUUAAAUACCUCUAAUUAAUAUCUUGAAAAUGGUGAAAUACCCCUACUUUAUGUCUUGAAAACAUGAAUUCAACCAAGUUUUAAAUAAGUCAAGCCUUGAAAAUUGAAAUUAUGGAGAUAUAUUUGAAAAACUAUCAUUAAAUUAGUUUUGAAAGUAUAUAUAGACAGAUAAAUAGGGACAAAUUUUUACUUCCAAAGUGGACAAAUAAAUAGGGACGGAGGGAGUAUUAUUUUAAAUAAUCAUAGAUUAAAUGUAUUAUUUUAUUUAAGAAAUGACUGCGGAGGCCAGGCCAGUAGGCCACCUUGAUAGAUACCCCAACCCACCCUCACAAUAAUUUUCAUCCUAUUCACACAUAUUACAUGCAAGUUACAGCCUAACACUGAGAGUUAUUUGUCUUCUAUUUUUCACACCACUCACUCUUAUUCAAAGCUAGCUAAUAAUCAAAAGUUGGACAAACAAAUUUAACAGGCCAACUGAUCUCUAGAUUGAGCCAUUUCUUCGAAAAUAGGAAGCCUUCUUGGUCUACUUGACCCCCAUGCAUUCAUUAAUUUCUCAAGCCCAUCAACAAAAUCUUCAUCAAGAUCAAGUCCCAUUAUAUCUGAUGCCACUAUUUCUGGCCGGUUCAGUUCCAAUUCUGCAAGUAAUUCUUCGGCCCUCCUCCUUGUUCUCAUGUCAUCAGAACCAGGGGUUGUGCCCUGCUGUAUACCUUCAAGGACUGAACGGGCCUCGUCGUAUCGGGCCUGCUUGAUGAGACAGUAGCCCAAGUUACAAGCCUUGUUAGCAUCGGGAUCAAUCAUCUGUGCCUUUUUGUAUACAACCUCUGCUGCCAUAUAGUUUGAUUUCUGCAUGUACGCCCACCCCAAGUUCCCCUAUAGCAAACAAAGAAAACAAGUUGAGCAAAGAUGCAUGAACUAUGCCCAUAUAGUUGUGCUUGUGUAUCACAAAAAUGCAUUCUUUAAAUUUAUAGGUUCAAAUUAUAAUGCUUUACCAGUAUUCUGGAGGUUUCUUGCUUGACAGAAACCUGAAACUUCUUGCCAUGAGAUCUAGCCGUUUUGGUAGGCCUUCCAUUGAAUGCCUCUCCUCUAUAAAUCAUCCUUAGCUUCUGUUUUAACAUCACUAUUUGUUCGUCUAUUCUCCCGCAUUUCUAGUUAAGCAAAUAAUUAACCAAAUAUAAAUAUGAUGAUUAAGAAAACAAGGAACAAACUAUAGAUAACAUGCACAAUAUAUGCUAUGCUAGUACCUUGUACAAGUCAAUGAGAAUGUUGUCGAUUGAUUCUUGGGAGCUUUUGGAGCAAAGAACUCGAAAAGAUUUAAUGGCUUCAAUGGCCUCUUCAGUUCUAUCUAACUGCUUCAUCACCACAGCCAUGUCCUUUAGGGCACUGUCUACCCUAUCUCCUGCAUUUAUGGCCUUCCAGAACCACACGAUAGCAGCUUCUGGAUCCUUUUGCACUAUCUGAACAUUUUUUAACAUAUUUAGAUGAAAUAUCUAAAUUAAAUAUGAAUGGAAUCUUUAAAAAGUACAAUGAUUUAAUCGAUCAAGUACUAUAUAUCAAAAAUGAGAUUGUCAGGUAAAAGGAAUGAAAGAUCAAGCGUGUUUUAAUUGUGAUCAUUUUAUAUUUAUUACUUAGAUUAAAAUGUCAAAAUUUAUAAAGAAAAUUCUGGUGACUAGUAAACAUAAGUUAGCAGCUAUAUAUGGUACUAGUAAUUAAGCAUGAGUUAGCAGCCCUUACAUGAUGACCCCUUGUAAGUUAGCGGUCGGUCGGUUAUAGUUCUGUUUCUUGUAUUGUUGGCACUGAAGCUCUGUUGAACUUGUAGAUUUAUAUAUGUAACUAGUUUUGUAUAUAGAUCUACAUAUUCUUUUGUAUUUUCUGAAUCUUGUUAACUAAUUAUAUAUACUCUAUACGAUAAUUCAAAACAUAAACAUCAUCAAGGACAAGCUAGAUCCCCAUUCUAGUAAAUUAUAUACAUACAUAGAAGAGUGCAAUUCAACCUAGGUAGCGAUUUUUCUCCAAAUAAUAAUUAUUUAUAAACUAAGGGAGUCAUGUUCAAUCUGACAAAUUAUUGCGUUGUGAGCAAGAGAGGAUAAAAUUUUAAGUAGAUAUAUAUAUAUAUAUAUCCUAUAUCACGAUCGAGUGCAGAGGUAAGAGCAGUUAACUCGGGCUAAAUAUGCAAACAUUUUGUUUCUACUUAUCUAGUCAGUGAAAAAUCUAUUCUAAAUGGUGAUGCUAAGAACACAGAUCCAAUAACUAAUCAAAAUCUACGAGUAUUCGUAUGUCGCCGCAUAUAUAUAUUUAUAUGUACAAACAUACAGUUACUGAUGAAUCUCUCUCCCUCUCUCGCUCCCUCCCUCCCUCUUCUCUCUCUCUCUCUCUCUCUCUCUCUCUCUCUGUGAGUGUAGGUUUUCUAUGGCAACGUUACCUGGGCAUGCUUAGCUCGAACAUAAGGAGUGUCACCAGAAGGAACCUUGUACACCACAUGAAAUAGAUGCUGUUCUUCGUCUUUACUUGUAUUCCAACUUCCACCUUCCAUAAAUCUUUAUAUAUUUCUACAAAGAUUUGCUCUGGGGAAUGGAAAAGGUCGAGGGAGAAGAAAAGUAGACGAUUAUACAGAUACACAAACCAGAUAAUUUACGAUAGAUAGAGAAGCUCGUAGUAAUCUAGAAUAGACAUUUGACUUGCAUAAAGCAGGCAGAUGAGGAAGUCUAGAUACAAGCAAACGCAACACAAUACAAUUAUAUUAGCAUAAAAUAGAGUGAAUGUGGAUGGGUAUGCGUCUAGGUUCCUUGUAUGAAUUGAAUACGCGGGAUUGGACACUCUGCUUGAGACUACUGUGUAUGAGGGGCCAGCUCACCAUUUACAACUCUACAGUACGUCCUCAUUAUCCCUGCUUAAAUUAAUUUUCCUAUUAAUCCAGGAAUCGGAUGCGAGUCUAAUAUAAGGCGAAUCAGUGAUUAAUAAAAUAGAGAAAAGUGCUUCAAAAAAAAUAGAGAAAAGAAGAGAGUAAAUUUCAUAGCAGGAACUAAAGUGUCGAUAUUUAUAUAAAAUAGUGAUAAAUUUUUAUAAAAGUAAAACAGGCUAGUCAUUUUCUCCGUUUUUAAUUCCGUCCGCAUCCAGUUUAUCUUAUUCUUAUAUAAUUAAUUAUGAAUAAUUAAAGAAUAAAUUUCAAAAUGUUGUCUAAAUUUUUCUGAUUUUCAUAAAUUAAGGAUUGAUUAUGAAACAAUAUUUUGUGAAUUUUUGAAAAUUUUGGUCACCAUUAUAGAAUACUUUAACUUUUAAUAUUUAAUAAUAUAUUAUUAACAGUAUUGACGACCGUCGCCUUUUGAAAAAAUGGAGGAAAUGACUGUCAAUUUAUUGCCACUUCAAAUAAACAUUAUAUUUUGAGUAUCAUUUUAUUUUCAAAUUUUAGUUAGAUGUUUAAAUAUGGAGCUAUUAACCAAAAAAUCAAACUAACUUGUCAUUUUUUUGCCAAAAAAUCUAUAAAUCUAUUUUUCCACCAAUAACCCCAAUAAACUUUACUAAAUGUUUGAAAAACAUUUAACUAGAGUUAGUUAUAGCCGAUGUGGACUAAUUAUGAUCAUCACAUAUCCUAUGUGGCAAAUUGAUUACAAUUAAUCAAAAAAAUAACUAAAAAAUAUAUCAGCACCACUAAAAUCAGUUUUAAUAUGAUUGAUCAAAAGCUCAUGGUUGAUCAAAAGUUCGUUAAGACAGGGAAGUACCAGGCUCUCAUUAAAACAAUGAACAGAUUGAGAAUUGCUCUGCCGCCAUAGUUAUUGCACUCGUUUCUACGUGGUUGAUUUUCUAUGUAGAAAAAAUGUAUCUAUGGUGUAUAUUAAUGUGCAAAAUUCUUACUUAGCUACUCGAGCAUAAACAAUUAACCAAGUUUCAGCCGUGUAGCACGUCAAGCAGCAGAAUGAGAACUCUGAAUUGAGUAAGACAUAUUUUGACCACUUAGCACAAACAAUCCACCCAAAUACAAACACAAUCAUAUAUUUUGUCCAAUCAACCGUCCCGAACAACUCCAAACAACACACCCCCUAAAAUUUUAUAAAAUUUAGUCGCGUGAGACACCCCAACCAAACCUCUGAACUCAGGAAAACAUAAAAAGUUGUUCCAUCUCUUUAAUUUUGUAUUGAAUGGAGUUAGAAAUAACACCCCAUCUGCUAAUCUUUUCACAUACCCUCUGAUUACGUCAAAAUGAUAACCCCAAUAAUUUAUUUCGAACGUCAACCUCAGCGUUUACAAUAAUCUGCCAAUAUCACACAUCUUCACUUGUUUUCAUCUUAUUUUUUAAAUCUAAACUAACAAAUAUCAUAUUAUAAAUUAUUACUAUUAAUGAUUAGGUGCUAUGUGGCACACACGUGUGUAAAAAGAUACAAAUCAGGAAAGAUACAUGACAAGUCACAUUGGUAGAUUUAACCAUGGUUAUUUUAUAUUUAUUUUUACACUUUUAAUAAAGUUUAUUGGGGUUGUUAAAGAAAACAGAAGGUUAAAGGUUUUUUGACAAAAAAUUGACAAGUUCAUUGGGUUUUUUGGCUAAUAACUCUUAAAUAUAUAUGUAUGACCUAUUUUUCUUUUAUAUGUAUAACUAAAACCCGAAUCCAAAUAAUAUAUCUAAUAAUAUAUCUCUUAAUCACUUUCUUAUAAUAAUAUUUAAUUUAAUGCUAAUAUACUUAAAUAUAUGUGUUGUGUGUAUAUCAUAUAUUACAAGAUAUUUAAAACUAAAUAAUUUACCUAUACACUUGAAGCUCCCUCUAAUUGAAUUCUAGAUCAGAGACUAAUCUCUUAAUUUAAGAAAAAUAUAUAUGUCAGAUUAUUUUCAUAUCUUUUCCCUUAUCCUAAAAUAAUAAAUUUAAUUGUCUGUUUAUAUUUUUGUACCCUUAUUUGUUAGUUUGGUUGCACAUCUAUACUAUAAUAUAAUAAGCCAACAUGGGUAUAAUUUGUCGUCGUACAAAAUUUUGGUUUGUUCAUGUUGGUUUAGUGAUUCACCUUAUAACUAAAAGUCUGCUCCAAAUAGAGUUCUCAUAGGUUUACAUCUCUAAACAAUUUAAUAUACUACAACAUAAAAACUCCACCAUUAUUCUUUUAAAUAUAAUUUAUAAUUAGUUGAAUAAAAAAAAAAAAAUUUACUAUCAUUAAUAUUAUAUAAUAAUUAAUAAUUAUUUUUGAAUUAUAUAGCCGCCCGUGCAUUGCACGGGUUUAAGGCUAGUAUAUAUAAAAUAAACAUUUGGGAGAUAAAAUUAUACAUUAAAAAAUUGUACCGAAUGAAUAUGACCUCAAUUGUGUACUCAAAGAAGAAUAUGGCCACAAAGACAGUCUGAUACAAUUCAAUUCCUUUCUCUCCCUUUGUUUUGGCAGGCCGUUCACUCAUUAGCCUUCAGUUACACAGAAGUUCCAAUUAUAAAAGGAAAAAAAUGAAAUUAAAAAUUCAUUAACUUGUGAAAAAAUAUAUGUUCCGUUCACGCAGCGAUGCUUUCUAUAUGUAAAAAAAUAUACAGUAUAUUCUAUACGAAUGUCUUUAAUUAUCUGAGGAAAAUAAAUGCGGCUUCCACGGUGGUUUAUGUAGCCACCUCUGUUCCGUAGGCUUUCCCAUGAUAUCAGCCUUCAUCGAUCAUGUAACUCCAUAUGCAUUUAUAAUUGGAGCAACAAAUCCUUCGGUAUGUAAUUGUAAUACAACAACCGCUGAGACCUGAGAUUGAUAGCUCUACUCACAAUGUUAAAAUUAAACCUAAAAUUUACUUUCACUGACAACAUUGUAACCACCUCCGUGCUUGCCUGGGAUGUUGCUAAAGUUUCAGAGUUCAUUGUGGAUGAUUUCGCUAUGGCUCUGACUGUCCCACAUAACACACAGCUUUUUACCUAUGAAUAUAAAAACUUACUAGCAGUAGAUUUCACCAAUUUGGCAAGACAAAAGACGUGUAAAUGCAAGUUACUUGAAGCAUCAUGGAUGCUGAACAUCUCAGGUGCAAAAUCCUCCAACUUUCAUGUAAUGCAGUUCUGUCAGAUUCCAUUACCUUCAGAAAAAAUAAAUCAAUUUUGUAGUUUUGUUGUUGAUAAAUUUGUCUUUCUGGGCUUCCAAGAGAGUAGUUAAAGUAGUUGGAAUUCACCCUGGAGGGGGUCUAGUUAUAAUUUGAAGUUAACAUAGUGAUUGAGAUCAUUAAGACGUUGCAUUUUAACAUCAACUGACAAUAAGAAUUCUUCAACACAAGCAAGUGAAGAAAAAACAGACAGAAUUGGACUCUUGAAAAAAAAUCAUGUUCACUUAUGGCAAUAGCAACCAUCUUACUUAACGCGCCUUCCCCAUUGCUUUAAGAACUAUAUGCCUUGCUUGUCUCCCCUGCAUAGGUGAAAACUACUCUGCAACUCUACUAGAAAGGAUCAUAACGAAAAUAUUAGUAAACUAGUAGUCCACAAUUCACAAAGUCCUCUCAUUAAAGAGAUCUGAUCGUCGAAUAACACAAAAGAACACUGCUGCUUAUUUUCCACCAUACCGACCAGCAUGCAUAGCAUAAUCCCCUUCCAUCAAAAUCUAUGUUAGCGUUUCUAUGAGGAACCUUCUUCAAGUCCUGUAGCUCUUAAUAUCUGAAUAUUAUAAGCUACUUUUGAGUAUAGUUCUGCUGAAUCUGCUAAAUGCUCCAAGUUUCUCUGAGUAAACCACAGGUGAAAUCAAGAAAGCUGUGUACUCACUUACACAAUUACACAACUACUAAAGCAAAUCAUAACCGCACAGUUCUUAAUAGACAAAGGACAACAGGCAUUAUACCAUAACUAAAAGAGCCCGCGAAAAAUAUUAGAACCAAAGAUUUAAUAUAGUAUUGCAAAUUGCAACUGGAUGAAUGCAUUUGAAGAACUGGGGAUUUGCAGAGAAUGCAAGCCAAAAGGGAAUCGCUCAAGAAUUACAUUUGCUACUUAGGAACUAAAAGAUAUAUCAAUGGAAACUAAAAAAAUUUAUCUGUAUCCAAACUACAAUAUCAAAACAGCAAAUUGUUGUCUAGUCUCCAACUUGUUUGCUUGAACUUGUUGAUUACUCAGGUUUGUAGAGCACUUGAGUGUUUGCCUAAGCGUUUAUUCUGAUACAGCAUUGAGACCCUAAUUAACUAUGUUAUCAAUUGAUACACUAGAACAAAAGCUUGUGACCUUGUGGAAGUGAUUCAAAGGUACUGGCAAAUCCGGAAUCCGUCUCCAGCUGCACUUUGAUAUAUUGCUGAUCUCACAAACACAUGCCGUAUAAUUCAUAUGCCGCUCUUCAUUGAAAACAUACACAAGAUCAUCCAAUCCCACACAUUUCAAGCUUGCAAAAUUAUAAUCUUCCUGAUGACCAUCGAACAAACAAGCAAGCAAUUCAGCAGGCAUUAUUGCCAACUCACUAAACUCCAUUGUCUUGUCAUCAAUACUCCACAAAUUAAAGCUGACUCCACGGUGAUCAUUGCACAAUCCAGCCAAUACAAGAAGCUCAUUGCACGAAAUCAAGAAGGCAAAUAAAAGGCCAGGAGGCCUAAGUGUCUGAACUUCACUCCAGACAUGCGUAUCCAAAUCAAAAGUAGAGACAAAACCCGAAUAAAUCCCAUAAACAUAAAACUUACCAUCAAACAAGGCCGAUGAUAAAGACUGAGAUGUAUUCCCAUUCCGGAAAUCUGCAGGUAAAGGGGAACAAUUUUCCCAACAACCACAAUGAGGAUUAUAAAUCUCAACAAACAGUCCAUCCUCUAUAUCAACCAAACCACCCACAAACUUAACUCCACCUACAACAAUAAAUCUCGGCAAUUCACAUCCUUUAUCAUAAAACGCACCAACCAAAGGAUUCAAUCUAGGACAGUUCAACAUGCAUGUGACAUGCACAUCCCGGCUCAAAAUCGGACAAAAACUAAAGCUGCUGCCCGAGGUACAAACAUAGUAUCCAUUACAUCCCAUAAAAGAAGAAUCAUUUUGGUGUCGAAAAACAGGGAGAUUCAGCCACUUAUCGAGAUGAGGGUCAAAAGCAAGUAAUUGAUUGUUUCUUGGAAAAAUAUUGUUGAGGCCAUAGAGAAACAAGAAAGGCUUUUUCCGAGUAACCGCCACAGCAGAUGAAAAGGUGGAGCUGGUGACAAUGGAGUGCCAAUGCUUGCAAACCGCGGUGGCGCGUACGAUGGACGUGAGAGGCAGAAUGGAAAGAAUGAGCUCAGUGAGAUCUGAGCUGAGAGAGUUAAAGCCAGAAACAGAAACCUUGAUGACAUCUUUGCAUAUGUUUGAUUCUGCCAUUUUGUUGAAUGAGUUGAAGUCAAGUAAACAGAUAAUGUAUGAAUGAUUUAUACAAGUAAUGAGUGUUGGUUGAGGAACAUGAUGGUUGACCGUUAAAAACGAUAUUUGCAGAGUCUAGACGGACGAAUAGGGUCAGAUGAAUGGUCCAGAAUCAAAGUUAAAUAUGUAAAAUUAUUCAGAUAAAUGUACAAGGGACCUCCAAAUGGCUUAUUAUCUUCAAAUCAUUGUCAUUGCAGACUUGGAGUUAACCUACUGUCAAACGAUAUUAAGACGAUUCCUUUCUACUCCUUUCAUUGUCUGUUAGGAAAACUUUAUAAUUCAUCAAUAAUUCACCGCAAUAAAAUACCUAUUUUAUUACGAAAUAUUUUUCAUUGUGAAAUUAGUUAAAUAUAUCAAAAAUCAAAUAUGAUGAAUUUAAAAAAAUUUGUGCAAGAAAUAUGAUAAGGACUCUGUUGAUUAUUAUUAUUUUUGCCUAACGAGAGGUGAAGAUGAGGCAUUCAAAUUGAUAAUACUAGAGUACAUUUUAUGGGAAGAGAGUUAAAACUUCAUUGAUUACUGGAGAGAUUGAUGUUCAUUGUACAAGAACAUAUCAGAUGCUCAAUUUAUCGUCUGAUCUUUCGACAAAAUGAAUUUAUUAACAUGAAGGGUACUGAAUGAAGCAGCUUUUAGAUAUAUAAUUCUAUGGAUAAUGCAGGAAUUCGCGUUCCUCGGAUCUAGUCUUCAAAGCUCUAGCACCACAACUGUUGAAAUCAUAAUAGACCAAGUUAGAUAAGUACCCACAUUAUCGAUCAUUGGUAUUUAUAAUCGGUAAGAUUAACAUAUAUAAAGGAAAUAGGUCUUACAAUCUGAGUCCGUGGUGAUCCAGCUUCCUGAUUUAGCAGGAGUACUAUGAUCACCGCGAUGAAGAGGAGUCGAGUUGGAAGAAUAAGGUAUCAUCAUAUUCUGAUUGGUUGUGAUUCUUUUAGAAGAAGCCCUUGAUAGACAAGAGUAAACAGAUGAUGAAGUGGUGGAGCAACUCUCCAUAUCCCAUCUGAAACUGAUCUUUGGCGAGUCAUUACUCAGCUGACCAUCGUCUGGUACUGAUUUUAAUGCUGCUCUAGCUCGAAAUUGCAAGACCUGAAACAUAAUUUCACUCAUUUAUAAAUUAUAAUUGAGUAAUUGACCGCUAUAUUUAGAUGAAUAUUGAUUAUUGAGGCCUGAUGGAACUGAUGUUUGUGUUUUGAUUUACCUUUCGAGUGAUGUACCUCCCUCCUUUCUCAGAUUUGGCAGCAGCCGCCCAUCUUAUAAGCUCCUUCAUUUUCGACAAGGUAUUCGUUUUGUCGCUCUUAGCUUUCUCAUCUCUUUUUUCGUCGUUGACAUACUGGUGUCUAGAUGAUAGUGCAACAUCGAUGAGAGGUAGAACCUUGGUAUUCCCCAAAUAAUUAACCGGGGCAUCUCGUCCUUUGUUGUUACUAAUACCUAAUCCUUUAACUAUAUCUUCCUUCGUCAUCAUCUUCAUUGUACGGAAGCUCUUCAAAUUAAUAGAUAUAAGCAAGUCUCUGCAAUGCCUCUUCUUCUCAGUACAUUAAAAAAAGUUAACUUCUCACGUCUUUGAUUAGCUUCAACAACAGUAUAUCUGAUUUAGCUGGAAAAAGAACGAAACAAGAAACUUUGUUAGUCAGAGUUUCAAUUAUCUGAUUCUACCAUGCAUGAUAUCAAUAUCUGUGAUGGCUUCGACUUACCACUCAAACUCUCCUCUUUGGUUCGACAAUCAGAGGCUACUCUGCUGCUCUCUUUAACACGAUUUUACCAACUGAGAUUUCAGUGUGAAAGGCUUGAUUAUAUUCAUUAGUAGCAUGAAGGUAUAUAUAGGUACAUAGCCUGAUACAUGGAUAAGUUUAAACUACGUCAAAGUCUAUCUAUCUGUUUUCCUGUUACUAUUGUUACAACUGUAUACAUAUACUUAGAGAUGAGGUUUGACUUGAUCAGACUGCGGAAUGCAUGUUACGCCCCCUCAAGAUGGAGGCUCCAUUGGAGACUCCCAGCUUGGUGCGAAGAUGAAGAAAACUUUGUCGAGAGAGAGGUUUCGUAAGAAUGUCAGCAAAUUGAUCCUUAGAGUGAACAUGUGCAACACGAAGAGAUCCAGCAGCCACUUGUUCACGCACAAAAUGAUAAUCCAAGGAGAUGUGCUUCAUGCGCGAGUGAAAUACAGGAUUGGAGCUCAAAUAUGUUGCCCCUGUAUUAUCACAGUAGAUGGUAGGCGGAGAUGAAGCAGGAAUAUGUAACUCAGAUAAUAGAUUUUUAAGCCAAAUGAGUUCAGCUGCUGCAUUAGCGACGGCCUUGUAUUCCGCCUCUGAAGAAGACCUCGAAACAGAAUUUUGUUUAGAUGAUUUCCAUGAAAUUGGAUUGGAACCCAAGUACACAACAUAACCUGUAGUGGAACGUCCAGUGUCUCUUUCUCCACCCCAAUCUGAAUCGCUAAAAGCAGAUAAUUGUAGCGGAGAAUUUUUGCGCAAGAACAGACCAUAAUGAAUUGUCCCUUUGAGGUAUCGCAGGAUGCGUUUAAGAGCAACCCAAUGGUUUUCAGUAGGAGCAUGCAUAAAUUGAGAUAAUUUAUUAACUGCGAAAGACACAUCCGGCCGAGUGAUUGAUAAAUAUUGUAGCCCUCCAACAAGCUUGCGAUAUGGAGUAGGAUCAAUAGAUUGAGAGCCAUCAUGAAGCACUAAAUUUGAUGUAGCUGACAUAGGCGUAAUCAUCUCUUUGGCACCAUCUAAAUGAUGUUGCGAUAAUAAAUCAGAAAUAUGUUUAGCUUGAGACAAGAAUAGACCUGAAUUGGUAGGAAUAACUUCAACUCCCAGAAAAUGAUGCAGUGGUCCCAAAUCUUUCAGAGAGAAUUUUUGAUUCAAACAUGCAACAAACUUAUUAACAGACGGCACAUUGUUCCCAGUAAGCACAAUAUCAUCCACAUAAACCAUAAAAUAAAUAAUGAUGCCCGCUGAGUGAUAAAUAAAUAAUGCAGAAUCAGCAACAGAACUUUUAAAACCAUACUCAAGCAGAAAGGUUUUAAGAGCUUUAUACCAUUCAUGAGAUGCCUGUUUUAAACCAUAGAUAGUUCUGCGAAGUCUGCAAAUAUGAUGUGGAUAUGAAGGGUGCAAAAAGCCUGGAGGUUGGACCAUGUAUACCUCAUCAUUCAGGUGCCCGUUAAGGAAUGCGUUGUUAAUGUCCAGUUGACGAGUUGGCCAGCCACGAGAAAGAGCAAUACUUAACACAAUCCGAAUUGUUGCUGGCUUGGUGACCGGGCUAAAAGUUUCUGAAUAAUCAACACCCGGACGCUGUUGAAAGCCUUUUGCAACAAGGCGCGCCUUAUAUUUAUUAACAGACCCAUCUGGAUUUCUUUUAAUCCGAAAAACCCACUUACACGCUAUUGUUGGCUGAUUUGAUUUUGGCACCAAGUCCCAAGUGCCAUUUUUAGUGAGAGCAUCAAAUUCAAGGGACAUUGCUUCGCGCCAGUGAAGAUCCUUUAAAGCUUGUGAUACUGAUUUAGGCUCUAAUGAAGGAGAAAUGGGAUGAAGGGUGGUAUGAUUUAUGAAUUGUGAGUUAAAGUAUUUUGGAUUGGGACGUCUAGAACGAGGUUCCGGCAGUAGAUUGGGAGAGGGUGAAGGUGGAUGAGAUACUGAAGUAGACUCAAUUUGUGAUGAAGCCGAGGGAGGUGAAGAUACAACGGGUGAAUUUAUUUGACUAGAGGAUGAAGACGUGGGACCUUCAUGUGAAGCAGGUGGGGUUUCUGUAAAGGAAGCAGUUUGAGUGGUUUGUGAUUGAGGUAAAAUAGUGGUAGUUAAAGGUGGUGUAGUAACAACAGUGGGGUUCAAAGGAGGAUAGUACGAGUCUGGCACAACUGGGAGAGCAGAAUCACGCGUCUUAUUAUGCAUAGGAAAUUGGGACUCCACAAAAUGAACAUGUCGUGAGUGAUACAGACGAUUAUGAUUGAGAUCAAGGCACUUGUAGGAGGACUUAGAAGGAGAGUAUCCUAAGAAAAUACAUGGCACAGAUUUAGGUUGUAGUUUCGAGUUAUUGUAUGGACGAAGCCAUGGAUAACAAAGACAACCGAAAAUCUUUAACCGUGAGUAAUUUGGUGAUUUACCAAAGAGUGACUCAAACGGGGUGCAAUACUGAUUGGUUCUGGAUGGCAAACGAUUGAUGAGAUAUGUUGCCGCUUGGAAAGCAUGAGACCAGAAGGUUAAAGGUAGUGAUGCCUGAUGUAAAAGAGUGAGACCUGUUUGGACAAUAUGACCAUGACGACGUUCAGCCAUGCCAUUGUGUUCAGGAGUGUGUGGAGGAGUAGUAAAAUGUGAGAUGCCUUGAGAAUUCAGAAAAGAAGCAAGUGCGACAAAUUCGCCACCAUUAUCUGAAAAAAUAGAUUUAAUGGAUAAAUUAAAGAAUUUUUCCACAACCUGUUUGAACUGAAUAAAGACAUGGUGCACAUCUGAUUUUUGUUUUAUAGGAUAAAGCCAUAUGUAUUUGGUGUAGUGAUCAACAAAUAAGAGAUAAUAUUUAAAUUUAUCAAUGGAAGUGACAGCAGGGCCCCAAACAUCAGUAUAUAUCAAUUCUAAAGGGCGAGAACUUGUCAUUGAUGAAACACCAAAAGGUUGUUUAUGACUUUU
rnacentral:lncRNA from 1 species